CUGUUUUUACCUUCAUCAUUAGCUAAAUGAUUAGAAAGCUUCAAACACCAGAAAAAACGGCAACUAUCCAGAUCGACUGUUUACCGACAGUUUAUUCACAUGGAGGAAAGGCGAUUCUGAAAACUGUCUUGGAUAAGAUUGGACCCGUACCAGCCAGCUUUUUGAGAAGACCGCGAAGCAUUGUUGCUCUAGCUAGCUACGCCGCGCCUGACUGCCUGGCCUGGAUUGCUAGCAGUAGCACAGCAGCGGCCGAUCACGUCUCAUGAUCAUCAGUGAGUUGAUUAUGAGUUCAAUGACUUACCAAUCUACUCAGAUGUGGCUACAUUGGCUGUAAGCUGCCUAACAUGGAAAUUGAACUGCUGGAAAAUCUAAGAUCUGAAGAGUCUGUCACCCAGGCAAGUGACCCUCCACUGCAUGAGCAUGAUGAUCAUCCCUCACCAUCAACAGACCCUCCUCUAGUCGAAAAGGAUGAUCAUCCAGCAAAGACUGGUCCUCAAGUAGAGAAGUGGAAUGAUCAUCCACCAUCAAAAGACCCUCCUACAGACGAAAAGGAUGACCAUCCAGUGAUGACUGGUCCUCAAGUAGAGAAGCGGAUUGAUCAUCCACCAUCAACAGACCCUCCUACAGACGAAAAGGAUGACCAUCCAGUGAUGACUGGUCCUCAAGUAGUGAAGCGGAUUGAUCAUCCACCAUCAGCAGACCCUCCAACAGACAAAAAAGAUGACCAUCCAGAAAUCAAAGAUGAAACUACGAUAUUGCCAAAAGCAAAGCAAAUAAAGCAAGAGCCAAACAUCAAAAUGAAAGAAGAGCCAAUAGAUUUGGAAGAUGAUUAUGGUAUUCACAGCCAUAAAAUUGAUGAUGAUGAUGAUGAUGACGACAUCAUAGUGCUAGAUGUAACCCCAGGAAAUAAGAAAGGAAAGAAUAAAUCUAAAACUGCUUCUGAUGAAAAAGACAUUUUGAUUAUCAUUGAUGAUGAUGAUGACGAGGAAGAUGUAGAUCCUUCUACCACCUCUCAAACACCCAAAGAAAGAGUUGGAACAGAACCCAUUGUGGACCCUUCGGUUUCAGAUGACAUUCAAGUGGAUCAAGUGAAGACUGCCACUGAGAUCGGUGCCUCGCAUUCCAUUGUUGAGCCAUCAGAUGAGGGUGUUGACCCUAACGCCAAAUCCAUUUGUGAAGUUGCUAAAGAAUUGACAAAUCCUUGCCCUCCUACUCCAAGCACUACUCCAAGCUCUGCUGUAGGAAGUACAGUCGAAGCUAAUACUGACAUUGAAGUUGCAUCAGAAACAGUUUUACCCACCUCUCCAGAAAGUUUGGAUGAUUCUGAAAAGGGUAGUGAAGAUGCAACCACCAACCAGCUUGCUCUCAAAGACACUUUGUCCGUCCCUGAACCUCUUGAUAAAGAUGAAUCAACAGAACCGACCAAUUUCAUAGCUGAAGAAGAUGAUGCGAGGCCAGAACUUGAGGAUGGAGAUCAGCAAUUUGGUGAUGGCUAUGACAGUGAUGGUUGGGCGGUCGCCAGUGAUGUUGAUCCGGAUGAAGCCGCCGAGACAGGAGAGAACUCUGGCAAAGGAAUGGAAACCGAACAGAGUAUGGAUGAGUAUGAUACCAACCUGAAAACAAGACAAGAGGCUCUCAACACCAUUCCCCGACCGAUUCAGAUAAUUCCUGUGGAUUCAGACCAAACAACCAGACAAGACGAUAGUCCUGUACCCGUUGGAAUCAUUCCUAUAGCUUCAGAGAUGAGUACCGGAUCUGGUGAUGUCACGGCAGGUAAGGAAGUGACUGGAACAGGAGAGUCUGGGCAGCAAGCCUUAGUAUCACCAGUGACCAAAGAGAAUGUUGCAUCCAUGGACCAGAAUGGAUUAGAUUCUGACCAGGAUGAUGGUGAUUCUCCUGCUGCAAAGCAUGGCUUGCGUAGUCAAUGUAAACCAACAGAAGAGAGCAGAAGAGGUGCCGUUACCAGGAGCAAGCUCAGGUCAUGUAGCAAGUUGCUGAAAGGGGGGAAUAAAAAUGCAAUCCCCAGUGGAAAGCCUGUAGAGAGAAAAUUACGAGGUGUUGUCAAAGGAGAAUUACCACCUGAUAAUCCAGUCUUUAAUUGUCACCUUUGUUUUCAUUCGUUCGGAGAGAAGAAGUUGCUAGAAAAGCACCUUGUUAAUCAUCCGAAGGUCACACGUAUCAUGUGUGAAUACUGUAACACUUCAUUUGAUAAGCAGAGGAAUCUCACAAUGCACCUGAAGCGCUGCUUCAGACGGCGGAACCGAAAGAGUCCUAGGAAGACACUGAAUGGUGAAACCUCAAGGGUUAAGAAGGAGGAGAAUGCGGAUUCUCCCAGGAGGUCUGCAGUACAGGCCCCGUCUUUGAAAAGAGGGCUCAGGAAGCUGGGUUUUCUUUCAGCUAGGAAAGAUGGUCCCUGUACCAAAGCUGAAAGAACUAAUAACGAAAGUCACGUAAUACACGAGUGUAAAAUCUGUGAAAGAGUAUUUCCCUCAUUUAGAGGCUUAAGUAUGCACCGCAAGUUGAUACAUGUACGAGGCGACAAACGUGACAAAAGCUCAACCUCUUUGAAAAGAGGGCACGGGAAGCUGGGUUUUCCUUCGGUUAAGAAAGAAUGGCCCUGUACCAAAGCUGAAAGAACUAAUAACGAAAGUCAUGUAAUACACGAGUGUAAAAUCUGUGAAAGAGUAUUUCCCUCAUUUAGAGGCUUAAGUAUGCACCACAAAAAGAAACAUGCACAAGGCAACAAACGUGAAAAAAAUCCAAACCUUCAAGAGCUAGAGAAUCUAAAUCGUAGAAGAGAAAAAGAUGUGAAUCGAAAAAGGGGCAAGAAAUUUGGAGUUUGGCUAUGUCCAAAAUGCCAUGCCAGUUUUACUUCCAGGAAGAAAGUUAAGAGGCAUAUGUACCUAACACACAGUGAGACCUACACCAAGAAUGCAUUAAGAGAACUUGAAGCUGUACCUAAAGAAGAGGCCGUUAGAAUCAUCUAUUAUUGCUCAACAUGUAUAGAGUCAUUUCGAUCAGAACACUUCUUUGAUUGUCAUGAACCCACAAGGAAUAGUAGGAAGAGAUGCGAAAAACUCUUCCAAUGCAAUUUGUGUUUCAAACAUUUUAAGAAGAAAGCGGAAUGUGCUCGUCAUGUACAGGAGCAUCUAGGAUCUGUAGAGUCUGGGAAGAGAAAGAGAAAGAGAAGAUCAUCAAGUCCAGAUGAACAACAAUCAAGUAGAAAGAGAGCAAAAGUCAUUGACGGUUUCAAAUGCAAGUAUUGUAAUGAGACUUUCCAAUUCGAAUACCGGUGUGCCAAGCACGAGUUUACCCAUACUGACCGUGAUCCUUGGCAUUGCUAUAUUUGCUUUAAGAUCUUCUAUCUUAAAAGCUCCAUUGUUGCGCACAUGGAGAGAGCUCACAAAGAGGCAUCUUAUUGCAAAAAGUGCUAUUGCAUAAUUGCAAGCAAGAAUAAAAAGCGCUGUAUAGACUGUGACAAGAGAAGAAGAGCUGGCAGUGGUCUGAAGUGCAGCAUUUGCAAGACGGAGUUUGCAUCAGCCUCAGAUCUGACGUGUCACAUUCUGACCCAUGUCGAAAGUGGAGUUGAGACCCCGGUCAUAAGAGCCCCAAAGGCUUCAAGGGUGUUGUUGGACUCCAAAUUUAAGAAUGUUCCUCUGACUUCAGUGGUAAAGCACCCUCCAUCAAAGAUUCUGAAGACAUCCAAGAAAGUGGCAUGUUCUGUUGGUCGGCCCGUCACCAUUUCCUGCCCUGAAAGUUUGCUUCCAGAAGCACCACCAACAACUAAAACUGUUUCUUUAGCAGCAGAGCAUACCACCAGUGACAAGUACGACGUUUGCAUGAAGUGCGGGGAACAAGACAUUCCAGCCAAAGAGUUGAGUAGACAUGCGCGUACCCACUUGGAUGUGAGAUCUCGGUUCCAGUGCAACACAUGUCAGCAGUGCUUUGCGACCAUGUAUGAGAUCGAGGAGCACGGGUGUGUUCCCACUCACCAAGCCAGUUGCUCCUAUACCGUGUCCAACGUGGUGUACCAGUGUCAGUUCUGCGGCAGGGACUUCCCCACUAUGAUGGAAGCCAGGAAACAUGUGCUCUCCACGAACACCUCCUGUCUGUUGGAAUGCACAGUGUGUAAAGCCGAGUACUCGAGGCAAGGAGACCUGAUGGUUCAUAUGGUCAUUGUCCAUGGACAGUAUCUAGAAUGUGAUAAAUGCUCGGCUCAGUUUACCAAGCAGGUUGAUCUGGAUUUUCAUAUCAGGCAGCAUGAAGACAUGAGCCAUUAGAACCAUGCAGUAUGUAUGAGAGCCUAGCCAGAUGUAGGCCAGAAAAUGUCAUACCUUGUUUCAAGGUAUCAUAGGAAUUGCCUGAAUGUGAAUCUGAGCAGCGUUUCACGAAACAACAUUGCAUUGAAAUGCAUGUAUUAAGAUUAACAGGCAAUUUCAAUGGUAUGUCGGGAAACGGUGCCUCAAGGUCUUUCAAAUUCUUUUUGCAUUCACGUUCUCAUGGAGAGACUGACACUUUGACAGCAGUUUUUUUUUCUUGCAACUGGGUUUAAAAUUAUGGUUUAAUGUUGUACUUGUUUCAGAGGUCUUAAAAUAUUGGAGGUCUGGGAGUCUUAAUGUGCUACUUCUUUCAAUUCCUGUCAUGCAAAACAAUGUUUUUGUGCACAUUCAUUUGAAAAUAUUUGUAAAAUUUGUUCUUGCUGGUUUUCAUUAAAUCUGGACAUUUACGGUACAUGUAUUUCAAUUUUUCUAGCAACUGGGUUCAAAAUGGUUUAAUGUUGUACUUCUUUCAGAGGUCUUGCAAUAUUAGAGAAGGUCUUGAAAUAUUAGAGGUCUGGGAGUCUUAAUGUGCUACUUCAUUCAAUUCCUGUCUUGCAAAACAGUAACAUUCAUGUGAACAUUUUUAUGAAAAAAAGUAGAUUGCAAAUGUGUGAACUGUGUAGUGAAGUCUUAUUUGUUUAAUAUGUACAUGUUAUACAUGUAUCUCACUGUAUAAUGCAGUUCUUACAACGGAAAUGCAUUGUUCAGGGAAAAUCCCAAUUUCUCCAUAAAUGAGUUUCUUUCCUAUUUCUGCUAUUGUCUUCCAGAACUAACCAUAACGUUUGAUCAUGCCAUGAUCAUUAUUCAGUUCUUUUCUUUCUUUUCUCCUUUUGCACGACCAUGCAAAUAUAAUGUUCAAUUCAGUUGCCAGUAUUUCUUUCUUUUUGUACCAAAUUAUUUCAUGUAUAUACGGUAUACAUAAUCGUGCUAUGUCCAUGUAGAACCCUGUUUGUUUGUGGAGUUAUGUUGAGGCAUGACCAGUACUUAUAUUGAUAUGAAUACAUGUAUUUCUAUUUUGUUUUGUCAUUAUUUAUGGCAUAUUUUGCAUAAAUAAUAUAUUAAUUUUCAUUGGACAUAUGUAAAUGUAGGACAUGGACCCAGAAUCCCAGAUCCUUUUAAGUGUAAAAUUUACUACAAGAAACAAGUUCAAUCUAUUGAAUGCUUCUACCUGAAGACCCUGAGAGAUGAGAUAUUGCAAUAAUCUGGAAGGAGCUUUUGUAUUUCAGUUGUCACAAUGCAGGGUUUCAUACAUUGGUAGUUGCUAUGUCUGACAAGCUUGGGCUUUUCAUGAGAACCAAAUACCAGUAACCAUUAUGCACUGGAGUAGAAGCAUGUUUGAAUCUUGAGUACCGGUAUACAUGUAUCUGUUAACUUUUUGUUGAUCCUAUCUUCAGCUACCUGCUAAUGAGAAUUAUGCAUUUUGCAUGCCUCUAUACUACAAGAAUGACUUUAUCAAAACAUGGUGGAAAAAACUUGGUUAGCUGUGAUAAUGAUUACAUUGGAGGAAUCCUUUCAAAGUGUACUUGGAAGACACAUUUUAUAUUAUACAAUUUCUUAUUCUGAGGAAAUCAUCAUUAUGCAUAUGUAGAAUUCAGUUGUUCGUACUAUUCAUCAUUAUACAUGCAUAUGUAGGAGUUAGUUGUUCAUACUGUUCUUGCAAGCACAUGACAUUGUUUUUGUGUGUUCAUCUCUUGUGAUAUUUUCGUUGUUCUUGAUACGGAAAUCACUUUCUUGGAAUAAGUUGUGAUGUUGUAAUCCAGUAAUUAGUACUUAACUGCCUACAGCACUUAAUGUGUACUGUCUUAUACCACCCGAAGCAGCUCUAUAUGUAUUGUUCAUGUCAGUUGUUCUGUCAUCAUUAAGAAUUGUUGUCAUUAGAUCAUGUGAGUUUAUGAUAAGGUUAUCGUUAGAUCUGAUCUUGAUUUUCAAUAAUUACCUCUUGGUGAUGUCUGGCCUUUCAAUGGUUUAAGGCCAGACACCACAAAUAUCUCAAAAAUACUUGUGCAAGUGAAGUUUCCAGCUUGUUGAGAUUAUCAUGGAAUACUGUUUUAAUCGGUAGAAUUUUAUAUGUUUGUACGAAACAAAUACUGUAUUAAACGACCAAAGAAGA